GCCUGUAGCUCAAUGGUUAGAGCAUUGGCCUUGUGCACCAGGGGUGGCAGGUUCAAACCCAGCCCAGGC
rnacentral:tRNA from 1 species